rnacentral:rRNA from 1 species
CCUGAUGGAGGGGGAUAACUACUGGAAACGGUAGCUAAUACCGCAUAAUGUCGCAAGACCAAAGUGGGGGACCUUCGGGCCUCAUGCCAUCCGAUGUGCCCAGAUGGGAUUAGCUAGUAGGUGGGGUAACGGCUCACCUAGGCGACGAUCCCUAGCUGGUCUGAGAGGAUGACCAGCCACACUGGAACUGAGACACGGUCCAGACUCCUACGGGAGGCAGCAGUGGGGAAUAUUGCACAAUGGGCGCAAGCCUGAUGCAGCCAUGCCGCGUGUGUGAAGAAGGCCUUCGGGUUGUAAAGCACUUUCAGCGGGGAGGAAGGCGUCAAGGUUAAUAACCUUGGCGAUUGACGUUACCCGCAGAAGAAGCAACCGGCUAACUCCGUGCCAGCAGACGCGGUAAUACGGUAGGGUGCAAGCGUUAAUCGGAAUUACUGGGCGUAAAGCGCACGCAGGCGGUCAGUCAAGUCGGAUGUGAAAUCCCCGGGCUCAACCUGGGAACUGCAUUCGAAACUGGCAUGGCUAGAGUCUUGUAGAGGGGGGUAGAAUUCCAGGUGUAGCGGUGAAAUGCGUAGAGAUCUGGAGGAAUACCGGUGGCGAAGGCGGCCCCCUGGACAAAGACUGACGCUCAGGUGCGAAAGCGUGGGGAG